rnacentral:lncRNA from 1 species
UUUGGAAAUUAUAGCUUGCAUUUAUUAUUGCUUUUAUGUCAUUUUGGACUAAAAAUACUACUUUAAUUUUGGUGAAAUUGAGAAAAAUCCUGUUUAAUUCAUGUAAAGUAUUUCAAAAUGUGAGUUUAAAUUAUUGGGAUUAUAACCCAAUAAUAAAAACAUGGCAAUAAUUUAUGAAUUUACAGUAAAUAUUCUACAUUUUUUUCAAAAUUCUUAAAUAAUGUUUAUGAUUGGCAACCUCUGUUCUAAUUGCUUCAUGAACCAAUUUUCAGUAAGCAGCAAAAAAUGUUUGACAUUGCUCCAUUUUUGACUACUAGUUUCAAAUUUCUUUCGCUUUCUGAGCUAGUGUCCUUUUAAUAAAGCAGAUAUUCAGAAACACCAUAAGACCUUCAAGUGAAUUUGUAGUGAUAACAUCCACAUCAGAUUGAUAUCAAAAUGAAGACUGGUUGAGCAUUGAUCGAGACCAAAUUCAGACUUUUUAAGUAAAGUAGAGACCAAAUUAGUAGGGUUAAAUACUGUUGAGAUAAGGUUUAGACUUGUCAAGUAAAAUUUGUACUCAAACAGUAAAAAUAUGGUCUUUUCAAGCUGCAGUUUGUAGUGCAUUCAGCAAGAAUAAUGGCAGACAAAGGUAUAAAAAAACAGUCUGUAGCUGCUGAUGCUUUUAAGAUUCGUUAGUGUGCAAGUUUGCAAUGUAGCUUGUUAUUAACUGAAAACAUGGAACGGAAAGUUUUGUAUGGAACUUAAAAAUCAGCACCCUUAUGAACAAAAUCAGAAAUUUGUAAAAUUUGAUUUAGAAUUAAGGGCGGCUGAAGUAAAAAAUGUAUCAGUUAAUUUUAAUUGGCCUUUUGUUGUUAUGUUUAUGGUUAUUCUGAGGUUAAAGUUGAUUUUACUUUGUCAAGAAAAUAUCAAAGUGAAAAGAUUUUUUUUCUUGUAUUUAUUCAUGAUUGUUUUAAGCAGCUAACAUUAAGAUAUAUUAUCCAAACCUUCAUGGUAUUUUAAAAAGCUUGAACAGAAGCUUCUUCAUGAUCAAGAGAUAGCAUCUUGAGAAAAGCUAACUAGUAUUUUCCACAUUUUUCUGUCAGUCAAUGUUUCACUUAUACACGAACAGCAGUAAUUGCAGGUGAGACACUGGGUCAUGUGAAACCCUUUAUAAAUUUUGUAAUGACAUUAUUGAUUGUUCUUUAUUACUUUAAUUUUUUAUUGAAUGAUACUUGUUUUGUUUAAUAAACGGCA